GUAGUUAUUACAUUACUUUCCGCCAGAGAACUACAAGUGAAAAACUUGAAACUCAAAGGACUUGACGGUGUCCCAUAUCGACCUAGAGGAGCCUGUCCUAUAAUCGAUACCCCCCGUUCCACCCAACCUCAACUAGCAAAAUAUCAGCCUAUAUACCGCCGUCGACAGUCUACCCCAUGAGGGCUCAACAGUAGACACAACAGCCUUAACGCUAAUACGUCAGGUCAAGGUGUAGCAAAUGUUGAGGAAAAGAUUGGCUACAUUUUUUAUGAUAAAAAACACGAAUUGCACUAUGAAACACUGCAUGAAGGUGAAUUUAGUAGUAAAACAGACAAGAGUGUCUGUUUUAACAACGCUCUGGGACGCGU
rnacentral:rRNA from 1 species